rnacentral:rRNA from 1 species
AUUCCUACGGGAGGCAGCAGUGGGGAAUAUUGCGCAAUGGGGGCAACCCUGACGCAGCAACGCCGCGUGAUUGAAGAAGGCCUUCGGGAUGUAAAGAUCUUUAAACAGGGACGAAGAAAUGACGGUACCUGAAGAAUAAGCUCCGGCUAACUACGUGCCAGCAGCCGCGGUAAUACGUAGGGAGCAAGCGUUAUCCGGAUUUACUGGGUGUAAAGGGCGUGUAGGCGGGCCUGUCAGUCAGAAGUGAAAUCUGGGGGCUGCACCCCCCAACUGCUUUUGAAACUGCGGGGCUUG